rnacentral:lncRNA from 1 species
UGGAGGAACAUCUACUAGCCGUUCAAUUUCUUCCAACUGGUCAUAUGGAGCAAUCUACACAAGAACCAAACCCAAGACUCAUACACAUCUUUUGGUAAUCUUUGUUUUUUUUUAAAAGUUUUGAUUAUGAUUUCUAAAGUUGUAUUAUUUAUACCUGGCUAAACCCGUCGGGCCAGGUUAUCGAGACAGCGUAGUUUCCCAUUGGUCGUAUGUCCUCAGGUUCGAUAUCUUCUGCUACAUCCCCAUAUAGAACUUUUUGCUCUCCAGUCCAUUCAUCCUGUUUAACAAAGAUCCAAACACUGACACAUUAAAUUCUGGUUUUAAGUAGUUGAAAAAAGAAGCUUUAGGAUGAAGCGGAUUCUCGAGUUGAAUGUCUUUCAUAUACCACGCUUUGUGCAGAUCGAUCAUUUCUUCUGACGGUUGCAGGGUGCAGUAAGAACUCUUCGUCUGAGUUUGGUACCUUCACUCUAAUUGCCUUGAGAUAUUUGUCGUAUGUCACAGCCG